rnacentral:rRNA from 1 species
AUGGGGGCGGGUCACAGCGUCGGGCGUCGGGAUUCCGACGCCGGAGCAGGCGGCGAGGACCGCCUCAGCGCGCUUCCAGACGACGUGCUCGUCAGCAUCCUCGUCAAGCUCCGCGACGCCGCGGCCGCCGCCCGGGCCAGCGUCCUCGCCCGCCGGUGGCGCUGCCUCUGGCCCCUCCUCCCGGAGCUCGCCUUCGCCGACGGCAUCCAGCACCACCGCAUAGUCCCCGCCCUCGCCGCCCACGAAGCGCUGGACCUCCGCGACAUCCAGGUUGCCACCCGAGAGGCCUCCGUCGAGUACCUGGCGGUCUGGCUCCCCAUCGCCGCGCGCCGCCUCUCCGGCUCCAUGCACCUCCGGGUGGUGUGGCACGAGGGCGAGGCCGAGGUCCGGGCGGCGCUGGAGCCCGAACAGAGAGGGGCCAUCCUGCUCCCUUGCUUCCGGCGAGCCACCUCCGUCGUACUCGAGUUCUCGUUUCUCCGCCUCGUCCUGCCGCCAUCCGGGGUGUUCGCCCGGCUCCAAAUCCUCAUGCUGGUCGGCAUCCUCGUGUACGGGCAGUGCAGCCUCGGCGACGCUGUCUCUUCCCCGCGCUGCCCAUGCUUGAAGGUUCUCUUCGUCCAGAGCGCCCGCGGUCUGGGCAGCUUCAGGAUCCACUCCAGGUCCCUCCUGCAGCUGCAGCUGUCGGAUCUGCGCGACAUGCAGCAGCUCACCGUCGUCGCGCCGUUGCUCCAGUUCUUGAGAGUGAGAUGGUGCUUUACCAAUGUAGCAUAUGCACUGAAUCCAAGUCAACCAGUAGCCAGGAUCUCAGCCCCUCUCCUGGAGAAGCUCGAAUGGAUGUGUGAUUUCGUUCCUAGCUCUGUCCAGCUUGGUGAGAUGCCACCACAUCUCCGACGCCUUGUCGCUGGAAUCAUCAUGGUAUAUGGAUCAGAUUGCAUUGCUCCACACAACCGUUGUUGCAUUGGCAUUCUGCAGCGCUUUGAGCGUCUCGCUGCUCUCCGCCUCUGCCUUGCCUAUCCGCCGGUCAUAGGUAACCACAAAUACUUGACGGAAGACAUGACAAGGCUCCCCGACGUUGACUACUUGACCCUAGAUAUAUUUUCAUGUGGACAUUCCUUUGGACCCAGCUCAUUCCAUCUUCUCAGGAUGCAGUGGCGGAGCUAG